rnacentral:rRNA from 1 species
AGAGCGAACGCUGGCGGCAGGCUUAACACAUGCAAGUCGAGCGGAUGUAGCAAUACAUCAGCGGCAGACGGGUGAGUAACACGUGGGAACGUACCUUUUGGUUCGGAACAACACAGGGAAACUUGUGCUAAUACCGGAUAAGCCCUUACGGGGAAAGAUUUAUCGCCGAAAGAUCGGCCCGCGUCUGAUUAGCUAGUUGGUGAGGUAAUGGCUCACCAAGGCGACGAUCAGUAGCUGGUCUGAGAGGAUGAUCAGCCACAUUGGGACUGAGACACGGCCCAAACUCCUACGGGAGGCAGCAGUGGGGAAUAUUGGACAAUGGGCGCAAGCCUGAUCCAGCCAUGCCGCGUGAGUGAUGAAGGCCCUAGGGUUGUAAAGCUCUUUUGUGCGGGAAGAUAAUGACGGUACCGCAAGAAUAAGCCCGGCUAACUUCGUGCCAGCAGCCGC